GUCUGCUGAAACAAACCCCAAUUAGAAAGCAUCCAUUUUCGUAUCCCAAAAAUUUCAUUAAAUCAAGAAGCAUUCGUGGGUGAAAGCAUUCCUUUCCGUCUUGUAGCCGAGGAUAUUGAAGUGUAGUUCGCUCGCAUUACUCAGUACACAAGAGAGAUCAAGGACAAAUCACCAUACUCAACCUGCUGCUUAUUACUGCAGC
rnacentral:lncRNA from 1 species